rnacentral:rRNA from 1 species
CAGUUUGAUCAUGGCUCAGAACGUACGCUGGCGGCACGCCUAACACAUGCAAGUCGAACGCAGUAGCAAUACUGAGUGGCAAACGGGUGAGUAUAAUGUGGGAAUCUGCCUUUUGGUUUGGAAUAACACGGGGAAACUUGUGCUAAUACCGAAUAAGCCCUUACGGGGAAAGUUUUAAUGCCGAAAGAUGAGCCCGCACUUGAUUAGCUAGUUGGUAAGGUAAAAGCUUACCAAGGCAACGAUCAAUAGCUGUUCUUAGAGGAAGACCAGCCACAUUGGGACUGAGACACGGCCCACACUCCUACGGGAGGCAGCAGUGGGGAAUCUUGCACAAUGGGGGAAACCCUGAUGCAGCGAUGCCGCGUGAGUGAAGAAGGCCCUUGGGUUGUAAAACUCUUUCGUCGGGGAAGAAAAUGACUGUACCCGAAUAAGAAGGUCCGGCUAACUUCGUGCCAGCAGCCGCGGUAAUACGAAGGGACCUAGCGUAGUUCGGAAUUACUGGGCUUAAAGAGCUCGUAGGUGGUUAAAAAAGUUGAUUGUGAAAUCCCAAGGCUCAACCUUGGAACUGCAAUCA